GUGAGGAAUAUUGGACAAUGGGCGCAAGCCUGAUCCAGCCAUGCCGCGUGCAGGAAGACGCAUCUAUGGUGUGUAAACUGCUUUUGUACGGGAAGAAACACUCCCUCGUGAGGGAGCUUGACGGUACCGUAAGAAUAAGGAUCGGCUAACUCCGUGCCAGCAGCCGCGGUAAUACGGAGGAUCCAAGCGUUAUCCGGCAUCAUUGGGUUUAAAGGGUCCGUAGGCGGUUUAAUAAGUCAGUGGUGAAAGACCAUCGCUCAACGAUGGAACGGCAAUUGAUACUGUUAGACUUGAAUUACAAGGAAGUAACUAGAAUAUGUAGUGUAGCGGUGAAAUGCUUAGAUAUUACAUGGAAUACCAAUUGCGAAGGCAGGUUACUACUUGUGGAUUGACGCUGAUGGACGAAAGCGUGGGGAGCGAACAGGAUUAGAAACCCGAGUAGUCC
rnacentral:rRNA from 1 species